CGCUCCCUGAACCUAAAAACAUAGGGAGUCCUGCCUGCCCAGUGACUAGAGGUUAAACGGCCGCGGUAUCUUGACCGUGCGAAGGUAGCAUAAUCAUUUGUCUCCUAAAUAGAGACUAGUAUGAAUGGCAAGACGGAGCCAAACUGUCUCUUUCCCGCAACUCUGAAUUUCACCUCCCCGUGAAGAGGCGAGGAUAAAAUCGCUAGACGAGAAGACCCUGUCGAGCUUAUAGCGAAGCUCAAACUCCUAGAAUGUCUUACUCUAUACUAAUUAAUAAAACUAUCUAGAGAUAAAAUCUCUAAGAGAUUUGAAGAGGCUUUGGUUGGGGCAACCACGGAGUAAAAAACCCUCCGAUAAUACAAAAACUAUACUAAGAACAACAAUUCUAAGAUCAGAAAUGAAAGUAUGAUCCACUAAGGUGAUCAAAGGAACAAGUUACCGCAGGGAUAACAGCGUUAUCUUUUCUGAGAGUUCACAUUGACGAAAAGGUUUGCGACCUCGAUGUUGGAUCGGGACAUCCUAAGGGUGCAGAAGCUUUUAAGGGUUGGUCUGUUCGACCAUUAAAGUCCU
rnacentral:rRNA from 1 species